rnacentral:rRNA from 1 species
UGGAUGCCCUGGCAGUCAGAGGCGAUGAAGGGCGUACUAAUCUGCGAUAAGCGCCGGUAAGGUGAUAUGAACCGUUAUAACCGGCGAUACCCGAAUGGGGAAACCCAGUGUGAUUCGUCACACUAUCAUUAACUGAAUCCAUAGGUUAAUGAGGCGAACCGGGGGAACUGAAACAUCUAAGUACCCCGAGGAAAAGAAAUCAACCGAGAUUCCCCCAGUAGCGGCGAGCGAACGGGGAGGAGCCCAGAGCCUGAAUCAGCAUGUGUGUUAGUGGAAGCGUCUGGAAAGGCGCGCGAUACAGGGUGACAGCCCCGUACACAAAAGCGCAUGUGCUGUGAGCUCGAUGAGUAGGGCGGGACACGUGGUAUCCUGUCUGAAUAUGGGGGGACCAUCCUCCAAGGCUAAAUACUCCUGACUGACCGAUAGUGAACCAGUACCGUGAGGGAAAGGCGAAAAGAACCCCGGCGAGGGGAGUGAAAAAGAACCUGAAACCGUGUACGUACAAGCAGUGGGAGCACAGGUUUACCUGUGUGACUGCGUACC